UACAGAGGGGGCAAGCGUUUGUUCGGAAUUACUGGGCGUAAAGGGUGCGUAGGCGGCCUGUUAAGUCGAACGUGAAAUCCCCGGGCUCAACCCGGGAACUGCGUCCGAUACUGGCAGGCUUGAAUUCGGGAGAGGGAUGUGGAAUUCCAGGUGUAGCGGUGAAAUGCGUAGAUAUCUGGAGGAACACCGGUGGCGAAGGCGGCAUCCUGGACCGAUAUUGACGCUGAUGCGCGAAAGCCAGGGGAGCAAACGGGG
rnacentral:rRNA from 1 species